rnacentral:rRNA from 1 species
GAUGAACGCUGGCUACAGGCUUAACACAUGCAAGUCGAGGGGAAACGCCGGGGAAGCUUGCUUCCCCGGGCGUCGACCGGCGCACGGGUGAGUAACGCGUAUCCAACCUGCCUCUGACUGAGGGAUAACCCGUCGAAAGUCGGCCUAAUACCUCAUGGCAUCGUCUGCGGGCAUCCAACGACGAUUAAAGAUUUCAUCGGUCAGAGAUGGGGAUGCGUCUGAUUAGCUUGUUGGCGGGGUAACGGCCCACCAAGGCGACGAUCAGUAGGGGUUCUGAGAGGAAGGUCCCCCACAUUGGAACUGAGACACGGGCCAAACUCCUACGGGAGGCAGCAGUGAGGAAUAUUGGUCAAGGAGCGAGAGCCUGAACCAGCCAAGUAGCGUGCAGGAGGACGGCCCUAUGGGUUGUAAACUGCUUUUAUGCGGGGAUAAAGUGAGGGACGUGUCCUUCAUUGCAGGUACCGCAUGAAUAAGAACCGGCUAAUUCCGUG